rnacentral:lncRNA from 1 species
GUGCACGUGUCAGAUCACUUCCCACCGUUUAGUCACUGCCAAAAGGUUCUAAAAUUUCGCACUACUUGGGACCAGUUUGUUCCUGCCCGGUUAAUGGUUCUCUAACUCUUCUGCAUGGAAUUGGAGUAGAAAGCCACUGUUCGGAACGAGACACAAAUAUAUAAGCUCCAAAGUUACCUGUCGUUUUUACCACCUUUUUGGAUGAUAGCAAAGAACGAGAUACAGAUCUAAACCAUGCAGCAGGG